CGUCGAAACCUGGUCAGUAGUCAGCUAUAAAGUGGAGGCAUAUUUGCCUAUUCGGCAUUUGGAUGGAGGCACAUGUUUGCAUGGGAGCUCUGGCUGAAUGAAUCUUAUUACUUUUUGAGGCUUCUGGUUGUGCAUAUCCAUAUAGAACAAGAAGUUUAGCUGCUGUAUUUUUUUGGUCAUUAAGUUUAGCUGCUAGUUGAAUGUUGCAGCCUGAAGGCAAAAGGACACCUAACGAAACAAACUGAAGAUACUAUAAGAUGGAAUCAUAGCUCGAAAGGUGAAGUCACCAUAGCCUCGGUUUAUAAAUUGUUAACUCGAAGCAGUGAGAAAGAACAACUCCCAAUAUGGAAAACCAUAUGGAAAUGAAAAGGGAUGUAAAGAAUAAAAAUGCUCAUGUGGAGACUAGCCCAUGGGAGGAUCUUAACAGCAGGAAGAAGAGCUUGCAUGAUGGGGACAAAUCCAAACUGCCACUACUGCCCAAACCAGGCUGAGAUCCUUCUUCAUGCCUUCUGAGACUGCCCCCAAGCCGCGAGGACUUGGAUGCAACUCAUCCAACUGAAUGCAACAGCUAUUUUCUUUGGAAUCGAUAUGGCAAAUUGGAUAAGAAUGAAUAUGGAAAAUAAUUUAGGAGUAUCAUCUGUACAUUCUUGGAUUGAUGAAUUUUUUGUGACUUGCUGGGCGAUGUGGAAAUGGAGAAAUCAAGGGAAGAGGAAAGCGUCUAGAAAUGAUAUCCCCCCUAAUAGGGAUCGAGGAGUUUGGCACCCUCCAGCACAAGGGUGGUUGAAAUUAAAUACUGAUGGUGCUUUCGGGGAGACUCAAUGAUUCGGGUAGUGGAGGAUUGCUGAGAACUCAUGAA